CGGCGCGUCUCCUACGUCACGCCGAUGCGGAGGGCGGGACUUCCUCCCCACGACCCGGAAACUGGAAAGGGUUCUCUUCCUUCGGAAAGAGAUGGGGCUUGACGCGGAGAUGAGACUUCGGAAGGCUGGCUGCGUUUGUCGCUUGGAGUAAGGCCGUUUUCUGGCCACGCCGGCGGGCCGGGUUUCAGGGGAUGUGGCGGGGAGCCGGGGUUUAGGGGAGGGGUCGGCGUGUCGGUCGGAGAGUCCGCGCCACCGGCGACCUAGGUCUCAUCCUACGUCAUUGUGCUCCGCUCUCUCAGUCUUGUUUGCAAAACGAGCACGGAGCAGCCCGCGGUGGAGAUCGACGUGAAAGGGCGGAAUAAACGGAGCACAGUUUAAUUUUUAAAAUUCAGUAGGCGAUCGCUUCUCGGCCUUUUGGAUUGCAGGUUGGAGGUGAACAUGGCCUUGAGGUAACUCCUGUCCCUUCCUGAAGUUUAGUUUCAGCAGAUUAUUUGUGGUAAGAAAUCACAAUACUCACAGAGAACGAAAGUUCGGUUUGCUUCUGUUCUUGACUGCUCCUUUGGUAGAAUACGAGAAACAGUGUAAACAAACAUUCUUUAUGGUCGGUGACGGCGAUGCCUGAAAUUAGUCCUCAGCCUGGCAUAAGUUAAGUGGAUUUUAAAUGUCAAAGCCACUUCUAGACGCUUUCCUUGGUUAAAUAAAAUCUUGUUGAAUCCUC